GAUCCUGGCUCAGAACGAACGCUGGCGGCAUGCCUAAUACAUGCAAGUCGAACGAGAUCUUCGGAUCUAGUGGCGCACGGGUGCGUAACGCGUGGGAAUCUGCCCUUGGGUUCGGAAUAACUUCUGGAAACGGAAGCUAAUACCGGAUGAUGACGUAAGUCCAAAGAUUUAUCGCCCAAGGAUGAGCCCGCGUAGGAUUAGCUAGUUGGUGGGGUAAAGGCCCACCAAGGCGACGAUCCUUAGCUGGU
rnacentral:rRNA from 1 species